rnacentral:rRNA from 1 species
CCAUGCANGUCUCAGCGCAAAUGGUUCAACAAUGGGUCUGUGAAUGGCUCCUUACAUCAGCAGUCAUCCAAGUGAUAAAGUGUGGCUAGCGCACAUGCCAAGUGCUCAUUGGACAUCCUCCAAAACCUGGUGGCUAAUACACGGAAGAUCAGGUCUGCCACGUCACGUUUGUCGGCAUUCAUGCAGCCUCACGGCGGUGGAUUGCGCCCAGCUGUUUGGAAGACCAGCGCCUGGGAAAGGCAGUGUGUCAUGGCUGAAUCAGGCUGGUCCCAUCGGGACAGUCGCGCUGGCAGAGUGAAGGCUUCGGCCUACAUUGCUUGAUCACAGGAACUUCUGACCUAUCAGCUUUGAUUGUGGUGUAGUGGACCACGAUGGCAUUGACGGGUAACGGAGAAUUUGGGUUCGAUUCCGGAGAGGGAGCCUGAGAGACGGCUACCACUACCAAGGUGGGCAGCAGGCGCGCAAAUUGCCCAAUGCAAAAACAUCUUUGUGAGGCAGCGACGAACCGCAACAAUCCUGUUGGAUUCAUUAACCAGCAGGACUUGUAAUGGAUGCUAUCCAAAAACAGUCAUGAGUAUCAACUGGAGGGCAAGUCUGGU